GCGUUGUUCGGAAUUACUGGGCGUAAAGAGUGUGUAGGCGGUGCUCCCAGUCUGUUGUGAAAUCUCCCGGCUUAACUGGGAGGGUGCAGCGGAAACUAGAGUGCUAGAGGGUGGGAGAGGUAAGCGGAAUUCCUGGUGUAGCGGUGAAAUGCGUAGAUAUCAGGAGGAACACCUGUGGUGUAGACAGCUUACUGGACCACUUCUGACGCUGAGACACGAAAGCGUGGGUAGCAAACAGG
rnacentral:rRNA from 1 species